UACGUAGGGUGCGAGCGUUGCCCGGAUUUAUUGGGCGUAAAGGGCGCGUAGGCGGCCACGCACGUCCGUUGUGAAAUCGCUCGGCUCAACUGGGCGGGGUCAGCGGAUACGGAGUGGCUGGAGCAAGCUAGGGGGCAAUGGAAUUCCCGGUGUAGUGGUGGAAUGCGUAGAUAUCGGGAAGAACACCAGUGGCGAAGGCGGCUCGCUGGGCCGAUGCUGACGCUGAGGCGCGAAAGCGUGGGGAGCGAACAGG
rnacentral:rRNA from 1 species